AGUGGACGCUGGCGGCGUGCCUAAUACAUGCAAGUCGAACGGAAUUUAAGAGGGCUUGCUCUUUUAAAUUUAGUGGCGCACGGGUGAGUAAUAUAUAGCUAAUCUGCCCCUUGCUGGAGGACAACAGUUAGAAAUGACUGCUAAUACUCCAUACUCCUUUUUACCAUAAGAUAAAUCGGGAAAGAAUUUCGGCAAGGGAUGAGACUAUAUCGUAUCAGCUAGUCGGUGGGGUAACGGCCUACCGAGGCUAUGACGCGUAACUGGUCUGAGAGGAUGAUCAGUCACAUUGGAACUGAGACACGGUCCAAACUCCUACGGGAGGCAGCAGUAGGGAAUAUUGCGCAAUGGGGGAAACCCUGACGCAGCAACGCCGCGUGGAGGAUGACACUUUUCGGAGCGUAAACUCCUUUUGUUAGGGAAGAAUAAUGACGGUACCUAACGAAUAAGCACCGGCUAACUCCGUGCCAGCAGCCGCGGUAAUACGGAGGGUGCAAGCGUUACUCGGAAUCACUGGGCGUAAAGGACGCGUAGGCGGAUUAUCAAGUCUCUUGUGAAAUCUAACGGCUUAACCGUUAAACUGCUUGGGAAACUGAUAAUCUAGAGUAAGGGAGAGGCAGAUGGAAUUCUUGGUGUAGGGGUAAAAUCCGUAGAUAUCAAGAAGAAUACCUAUUGCGAAGGCGAUCUGCUGGAGCUUAACUGACGCUAAUGCGUGAAAGCGUGGGGAGCAAACAGG
rnacentral:rRNA from 1 species